GACGAAGGGGGCUAGCGUUGUUCGGAAUUACUGGGCGUGAAGCGAGUGUAGGCGGUUGUCGUAGUCAGGCGUGAAAGCCUUGAGCUCAACUCAAGAAAUGCGCUUGAUACUGGGCAGCUAGAGGACCGGAGAGGAUAGUGGAAUUCCCAGUGUAGUGGUGAAAUACGUAGAGAUUGGGAAGAACAUCAGUGGCGAAGGCGGUCUGCUGGGCCGUUGCUGACGCUGAUGCGCGACAGCGUGGGGAGCAAACAGG
rnacentral:rRNA from 1 species